UGGCGGCCUGGGUUGGCUGCGGGUUCCUAGAAGCCCACUCCAGAGCCGGCCCGAGAAAGGGGCCUCCCUCCAGCAAUUCGGAGGAGCCCAAUGGGUGCUGCAGACCCAGCGUUCUUGAAUUUGGGCUCUGCGAAGGAGACGGCAAAGGCCCGGCCUCUUCACUCAGGAGUGCGCCCCCCAGGGUCUGACAGCCUGGAGGUAUUUAUUUGCAUAUAAACCUCAACCCUAGGCACUGUUUAAGCUGCAAACCUGAUUUGUGAAGACAGUGACAAGUGAGAACAAUAUCUUUUAUUGAUGCCUCACUCUUUGUUAAGGGCUAUAUAAACCUCAUAUGGUAUAACGCUUACAACAACUCUAUGAAGCUGGAAGACAACUUCACCAUCAAAUUCUUUGAUUUGGCUUUUCAGGAGAGAUUUCAUCCUGAUCUGAGCUGCCUAAUGACACUGCAUCUUCAAACAGUAAGUUGUUUCUAAGUUUGAUGGAUUCAUUGGCAUUGUUUUUCCAUCCAAAGGUUUCUCAUUGUUGCCAAAUCACAUUCUGUCCAAGAAUAAAAAUUUAGUACCCCAUCCUACAUGUAACCUCUACCUACAUUACUUAACAAUAGCUUUAAGUUAGAAAUUUUCUUCUAAGACCUAGGUCUACAGAAAAUAUGAGAUUUGAUCUUAAUUGGGAGCUGGCUCUUCUCCUAGUUAAAACCAGGCUAGCUUUGAACCUACUUGUUGCAAGUAUCUGUUCAUCUGUUGAAAGUAACAAAGUGUCUAUUACUACAGAGACAGACAUUAGAAAAUGUCUAAGUUGCAUAUGUUUUUGUAUGUACUCUAAUUUUUGUAUAUACUCUUCCUUAAAUACAAAUAUGGCUUACAUGAUAUUUGUAUCUGUACAUAGACAUGUAGCAGAAUUUUCAUGGAUUAAGUUAUACUAGCCCAGCAUUUAGAGAACAAAGCACCUACCUUACUUAUUUGAUAAGGCCUAAAAUUUUCUAAUGAAGCAGACAGCACACAAGUACCAUGAUGCAGAUACCAGGCAAAGGCCUAAUGUGGGGCCAAUGAAUAUGGAAGGGGAUCUGGACUUCAUGUGGUCUGGAAACUCCAGAAUUUGUCUGCAAAAAUGCCAUGUAUACCUAUGUAUGUAAAUGUUCAUUUAUCUGAAUAUUUUUGUAUUUUCAUCGUGGAACACACAAAAGAUGGUAAGAACCAAAGCACUGGGUAGAAAUUAUACUUUCAUUGUCACCAAUAAACUUUUUAAGGAAUAGUUACUGAAGGAAGUAUAGCAAGAAACUAGAAAGGGGUUACCACCACAGGAGGAUUUACAGAGCUGGUGGUCUUCUGCUGCCCAUUUCCCAGGUGGGAAUUUA